rnacentral:rRNA from 1 species
CGUAGGGUGCGAGCGUUAAUCGGAAUUACUGGGCGUAAAGCGUGCGCAGGCGGUUUUGUAAGACAGGCGUGAAACCCCCGGGCUCAACCUGGGAACUGCGCUUGUGACUGCAAGGCUAGAGUACGGCAGAGGGGGGUGGAAUUCCACGUGUAGCAGUGAAAUGCGUAGAGAUGUGGAGGAACACCAAUGGCGAAGGCAGCCCCCUGGGUCGAUACUGACGCUCAUGCACGAAAGCGUGGGUAGCAAACAGGAUUAGAUACCCUGGUAGUCCACGCCCUAAACGAUGUCAACUAGGUGUUGGGUGGGUAAAACCAUUUAGUACCGGAGCUAACGCGUGAAGUUGACCGCCUGGGGAGUACGGCCGCAAGGUUA